AGAGUUUGAUCAUGGCUCAGAACGAACGCUGGCGGCGUGGAUAAGACAUGCAAGUCGAGCGCUGAUUCAAGGGUAGCAAUAUUCUUGAGUUGGAGCGGCGCAAGGGUGCGUAACACGUGGGCAAUCUGCCGUGAAGCCUGGAAUAACUCGCUGAAAGGCGAGCUAAUACCGGAUGUGAAAAUUGGAUGGCAUCAUUUGAUUUUCAAAGUUGGGGACCGUAAGGCCUGACGCUUCAUGAUGAGCCCGCGGCCUAUCAGCUAGUUGGUGAGGUAACGGCUCACCAAGGCUAAGACGGGUAGCUGGUCUGAGAGGACGACCAGCCACACUGGAACUGAGACACGGUCCAGACACCUACGGGUGGCAGCAGUCGAGAAUUUUUCUCAAUGGGCGAAAGCCUGAAGGAGCGACGCCGCGUGGGGGAUGAAUGGCUUCGGCCCGUAAACCCCUGUCAUUCGCGAACAAUGCCUGCAGUUUAAUACGUUGCAGGUUGAUAGUAGCGGAAGAGGAAGGGACGGCUAACUCUGUGCCAGCAGCCGCGGUAAUACAGAGGUCCCAAGCGUUGUUCGGAUUUACUGGGCGUAAAGGGUGCGUAGGCGGUCGGGUAAGUCUGAUGUGAAAUCUCCGAGCUUAACUCGGAAAAGCAUUGGAUACUAUUCGGCUUGAGGUCUGGAGGGGGGACUGGAAUUCUCGGUGUAGCAGUGAAAUGCGUAGAUAUCGAGAGGAACACCAGUGGCGAAGGCGAGUCCCUGGACAGGUCCUGACGCUGAGGCACGAAAGCUAGGGGAGCAAACAGGAUUAGAUACCCUAGUAGUCC
rnacentral:rRNA from 1 species